rnacentral:rRNA from 1 species
AGUGAACGCUGGCGGUAGGCCUAACACAUGCAAGUCGAACGGCAGCACAGUAAGAGCUUGCUCUUACGGGUGGCGAGUGGCGGACGGGUGAGGAAUACAUCGGAAUCUACUUUUUCGUGGGGGAUAACGUAGGGAAACUUACGCUAAUACCGCAUACGACCUACGGGUGAAAGCAGGGGAUCUUCGGACCUUGCGCGAUUGAAUGAGCCGAUGUCGGAUUAGCUAGUUGGCGGGGUAAAGGCCCACCAAGGCGACGAUCCGUAGCUGGUCUGAGAGGAUGAUCAGCCACACUGGAACGGAGACACGGUCCAGACUCCUACGGGAGGCAGCAGUGGGGAAUAUUGGACAAUGGGCGCAAGCCUGAUCCAGCCAUACCGCGUGGGUGAAGAAGGCCUUCGGGUUGUAAAGCCCUUUUGUUGGGAAAGAAAAGCAGCAAGUUAAUACCCCGCUGUUCUGACGGUACCCAAAGAAUAAGCACCGGCUAACUUCGUG